UUACUGGGCGUAAAGCGCGCGUAGGCGGAUAUUUAAGUCAGAUGUGAAAUCCCUGGGCUCAACCUAGGAACUGCAUUUGAUACUGGAUAUCUAGAGUAUGGUAGAGGUGAGUGGAAUUUCAGGUGUAGCGGUGAAAUGCGUAGAGAUCUGAAGGAACAUCAGUGGCGAAGGCGACUCACUGGGCCAUUACUGACGCUGAGGUGCGAAAGCGUGGGUAGCAAACAGGAUUAGAUACCCUGGUAGUCCACGCCCUAAACGAUGUCAACUAGGUGUAUGGGAGUUUAACUCCUGUGUAUCGAAGCUAACGCGAUAAGUUGACCGCCUGGGGAGUACGGUCGCAAGACUAAAACUCAAAUGAAUUGACGGGGGCCCGCACAAGCGGUGGAGCAUGUGGUUUAAUUCGAUGCAACGCGAAGAACCUUACCUGGUCUUGACAUGUAGCGAAGGUUGAAGAGAUUCGACUGUGCCUUCGGGAACGCUAACACAGGUGCUGCAUGGCUGUCGUCAGCUCGUGUCGUGAGAUGUUGGGUUAAGUCCCG
rnacentral:rRNA from 1 species